AACCGCUCGACUGGGCAAAGGCUACCAUUACCAUUUUUCAGGCUUGCAGAGGUCAGUCACUUAGCACACAGCUAAUACAUGGUAAAGCCAAGCCCAGGACCCGGAUCCGACUCCAGAGCUUGUAACUCAACAGGCACCAGUCCAUCUGCCUGCCUCGUCAGCACAUGAACUCCCCGCAGAAAGCAGCAAAAUCAAAACUUGAAAACCACAUUCUGAUCCAAACACGUGAUGGAUGGACAUUUGCAAUAACCAAUAUUUACUGAGCACCUGCUAUGCUCCAGACAGUCAGAAAACAAAAGGGUGAAAGACCUCUGCCACCAAGCAACAUUCCUUCCGGAGGGGAAAAGGAACAUGUCAAUAAGUAAUUAUAAUUCAGUGUGAUAGAUCUUGUGAAUGGCAAAGGACAAGUCGCUGAGGGAACCCACAGGGGCCUGGAGGGAUCUGGAAGGCCUCCCAGAUGAGCGGGCAUUUGAAUGGUUCCUGAGACAUGACUGUGUCUGCCAGACAGAUGAUAGGGAAGUCAGCGCUCUGGGCAGAAGAUACAGCAGGGCUAUGGCUCAGAGAUGUGACUGGAGCAAUGCCCCGGAGAGCCAGCAGGAAUGUCAAGGAGGCUGGGAUGCAGGGGACUGCGGGAGAGAGCCUGGGAGCUUGGGGCAGGGAGCCUGGAGAGGUCAGCAGAGGAGGGACCAGGAAGGACUGUGUCUGCCAGGCCGAGGGGUUUCCAUUUAUCCCAAAGGCAGUGGAGAGUGUUACAAGCUGCUGAGCAGAGGAACAGUGACUUGAGCAGGUUAUUUCGAGGGUUCCCUGAUGGCCAGCUGGGGUCUCAGCAGGCAGCCGGGAGCAGGAGGAUGCAGGAGGACAAGAGGCAGGGGCACCCUUUGGGAGGCAGCAGUCUGGAGAGUGGCAAAGAGCAGAGUGCAGGAAAACCGCCAGCCUUGGAGGGCUCUGGCUGAUCCCUGGGCAUGGAGUGGACAGUGAGACACUCCUCUGUGCGGGGAAGAAUGUGGAGUGAGGGUGGGAGAAAGCCUCAGCUUUGCACUCGUGGAACUGAAUGGGCCACAGUCAUUCGGGUCAAGAUCUGGGAAGAAAUGAUCUGCAGCUCCCGAGAAAGGAGAGAGAGGAGGGUGGAGGCGCGGGUGGGUCAGGGGGCCAGAGAGGGUGCAAGCACACAGAGGGGAGGGUUCGGGGUGAGGCCCGAGGAGCCCCUCACCCACAGGCAGCCCCAGGAAGUGGAAGAAAAUGGACUAAAAACAAGGAGAGGGCCGGCCGCUGUGUCCCGCGCCUCAUGGCCCAGAGCAAGAGAAGAGCAGCCGGACCUCUGGGGCCCGAGCUGCAAGUCACUCACGCACUCAGCAAACAUCAACCAGGGCCUCCCAGGAGCAGAGCAACUUGGAAGUGACUUUCCUGGAAGACUUCCUGACCAGGAAAUCCUCCACACCCAGAGGGGCCCCAAACCUGCUGCAUAAAAAUAGGAAUCCCAAGAAAAAAAGGAAGAGGAGCAAGAGAAGAAGAGAAAAACACUGACAUACCCUCAGACAAGGUCAGGGAAGCAUCUAUGGCCUUUUAAACAUUUGUCUUUCCGGCUUCUUACUGUUCAUCCUUUUCACGGGGACACGGGGCACAGGUGGCUGAAGGACUGACCAUGUCUGGGGUUCAGAGUGUCACAACAAAGAGGCAGAGGUUCACCCAGAAGUUAGGUCAGCCAAGGACUCAGCUGUCCCCUUUGUUGCCAGCACCCCCCUGGCCGGCCCCCCGCCCCCCCAGCAGAGCGGAGUGGCCAGGACUCAGGCUCACAUGCUUGGGAAGGGUGGAGGAGGAGCUGUGGGAGAUGCACCGGGCACCCAGCCCUCAUCCCCAGCAUCCUGUGGUCCACCCUCGGAAUUGUGCUUUCUCAAUCCCACUGGAGAACUGACCCCUGGCCCUGCCCCCGAGUGAGUCAGCUGCUUCCAAACGCCCAUGGCACUUAGGCUGUUGUUGAAACUACCUUCUGCCUUGUGGUGUGGCUAUUUUGGUAACUAGGGUCACCAUCCACAUCGUCACCACUAUUUACUGAGCACUCACCAAGUGCCAGGCCCUGAGCUAAACACUUGGUAUAAUUACCAUACUUAAUCUUGACAUUAGUACCCCGGGCUCGGAGAAGUAAAGUAACUUGCCCUGGGACACACAGCUCAUGAACACCAGCUGGGAUCCAAAUGCAGGUUUGUCCAACUCUAAAGCUAAAAGUCUUAACCACUCCUUUGUGUAGCCUUACAGAUUUUUAUCCAGGAGGAGACCCUAAGGAUGAUCUACACCACCCUUCUUACUUUUCAGAAGUGGAAACUGAAGUCCAAAGAAGUCAAGGCCAGGCUCUGAUCCCCAGUGCUCCGUGUCAGACAUCGUCUUAGAUACCCAGGAAACGGUGGACAGUACAGCCAUGACCUCCGCCCUCCUGAGAUUCACAUUCGAAUAAAGGAGGCAGCCCCUGAAGAGACUAACCCCCAAACAGCAUGCCGAUGAACUGUGAGGAUAUGGAGGAAAAGAGGACGGUGCCGUGGUGUCUUGGAACCUCUCUGUCCUCCCGUUUUCUCCUUGGUAAAAGGUAAGGAGCAUCAUCUCGGGCCUGAGGUCUCAAGAGGAUGCUAUUGCCAUGAAAUGUGGGCAUCGUGAAGGCAUUCGAAAAAGGUAAGACGUCUACAAUAAUGUGUGUCAGUGGUUCACCAACACCUGGAAACUUAUUUGAAAUGCAUAUUCUCAGGUCCCUCCCUGACCUGCUCCAUCAGAAACUCUGGAGGUGGGCCCAGCGAUCCAUGUUUCAGCAGAUCCUGCGGAGGACGGCAAUGUGUACUGCACUUGAGAAGCAGCGUAUCCCAAAGCACCUCCACUGUGGUUCCCAGAAGACAGCCAGCACCAGGGCUCAGUACAGGCACUACUCUCUUCCAGGGGUGAUCAGAGGUCCUCUCUUGCUUACCUAGACUGCCCUCUGGGUUAGGGUUCCCCCAUCAGGAUGCUUUAAAGAUCAGCCUAACUUUCAGGACCCAACUGGUUGGCCCCAUCAGCACAAAAUCCCAAAUUUUUACGUAUUGUAGGAAGGGAGUGAGUCAUGUUGGAGUUGUUUAACAAAAGUUUAUGGAGGGGCGCCUGGGUGGCUCAGUUGUUAAAGGUCUGCCUUCGGCUCAGGUCAUGAUCCCAGCUUCCUGGGAUUGAGCUCCGCAUCGGGCUCCGUGCUCCACGGGGAGCCUGCUUCUCCCUCUCCCACUCCCCCUGCUUGUGUUCCCUCUCUCGCUGUGUCUCUCUCUGUAAAAUAAAUAAAUAAAAUCUUUAAA